CCUACGGGAGGCAGCAGUGGGGAAUAUUGGGCAAUGGGCGCAAGCCUGACCCAGCAACGCCGCGUGAAUGAAGAAGGCUUUCGGGUUGUAAACUUCUUUUAAGGGGGAAGAGCAGAAGACGGUACCCCUUGAAUCAGCCACGGCUAACUACGUGCCAGCAGCCGCGGUAAUACGUCGGUGUCAAGCGUUGUCCGGCUUUACUGUGUGUAAAGGGCGUGCAGCCGGAGAGACAAGUCAGAUGUGAAAUCCACGGGCUCAACCCGUGAACUGCAUUUGAAACUGUUUCCCUUGAGUGUCGGAGAGGUAAUCGGAAGUCCUUGUGUAGCGGUGAAAUGCGUAGAUAUAAGGAAGAACACCAGUGGCGAAGGCGGAUUACUGGACGAUAACUGACGGUGAGGCGCGAAAGCGUGGGGAGCAAACAGGAUUAGAUACCCCUGUAGUC
rnacentral:rRNA from 1 species